rnacentral:rRNA from 1 species
CGGGACGGGUGAGUAAUGUCUGGGAAACUGCCUGAUGGAGGGGGGUAACUACUGGAAACGGUAGCUAAUACCGCAUAACGUCGCAAGACCAAAUGGGGGACCUUCGGGCCUCUUGCCAUCGGAUGUGCCCAGAUGGGAUUAGCUAGUAGGUGGGGUAACGGCUCACCUAGGCGACGAUCCCUAGCUGGUCUGAGAGGAUGACCAGCCACACUGGAACUGAGACACGGUCCAG